GGGGCCGGGACCUUGGCGGGGAAGCGGUAGUGGGGCCGGGAGCGCCAGCCGGCCGGCGCGUGUCAGGCGCCAUGUCGGAACAGCAAUUUGCUAUGGACUCGGCGGUCGUGGGCGUCGGCGGCAGCUCGGCGGAGCCGGCCGAGCAGCCUGAGGGGCUGGCGGGGGCUGGACCGGGGGGCGCCGAUGGGGGAGGCGGCGGCGGCGGCAGCAGCGGCGGCGGGAUAGAGUCGGAGGGAGCCAAGAUUGACGCCAGCAAGAACGAGGAGGAUGAGGGGAAAAUGUUUAUUGGCGGCCUUAGCUGGGACACUACAAAGAAAGAUCUGAAGGACUAUUUUUCUAAAUUUGGUGAAGUCGUAGACUGCACUCUGAAGUUAGAUCCCAUCACUGGGCGAUCAAGAGGCUUCGGCUUUGUACUCUUCAAAGAAUCUGAGAGCGUAGAUAAGGUCAUGGACCAGAAAGAACACAAGCUGAAUGGAAAGGUCAUUGAUCCAAAAAGAGCUAAAGCCAUGAAAACAAAAGAACCCAUUAAAAAGAUUUUUGUUGGGGGUUUAUCUCCAGAUACACCUGAGGAGAAAAUAAGGGAAUAUUUUGGAGCUUUUGGUGAGGUUGAAUCAAUAGAGCUCCCCAUGGACAACAAAACUAACAAGAGGCGUGGAUUUUGCUUCAUUACUUUCAAGGAGGAGGAACCGGUGAAGAAAAUAAUGGAAAAGAAAUACCACAAUGUUGGGCUUAGUAAAUGUGAAAUAAAAGUUGCCAUGUCAAAGGAACAAUACCAGCAGCAGCAGCAGUGGGGAAGUCGAGGAGGAUUUGUUGGAAGAGCUCGAGGAAGAGGCGGAGGCCCCAGUCAAAACUGGAACCAGGGAUAUAGCAACUACUGGAAUCAGGGGUAUGGGAACUAUGGCUACAACAGCCAAGGUUAUGGAGGUUAUGGAGGGUAUGACUACACUGGUUACAACAACUACUAUGGCUAUGGUGACUAUAGCAAUCAGCAGAGUGGUUAUGGGAAAGUAUCUCGACGAGGAGGUCAUCAAAAUAACUACAAACCAUACUAAAUUAUUCUGUUUGCAACUUCCCCAAACAGCGGGAACUUCCUUGCAGGCCCUGUGUCGCGCUGACUUCACGAUUCUCACAGGCCCGCUCAAUGCGGACAGGGUACGAGAUGCUCACGCUCUCGAAUGCUGCCGUUUGGUAUGGUCUCUUCCAACAUCCUGUAUCAGCAUUAUAAAAUAAAAUGGAUACUUCAAGCUUUGCCUUCACUUAUUUCUUUGCUUUUAAAAUUAUAUGUAAUGUAAUUUUAAUGCAUUUUUUACAGGCCCAGUAAUGGUUAAAUACGUCACCUUACUGAAUAAUUUUAACUUUGUUCUUCUAAGGAUACAGCUUGUCUCUGGAUUUUCCAGUCUUAAUUUUAUAUUUUAUUAAUCUAUUUAAUGCUUGCUUUUCCCAUUUAUAGACAUUGUAGCAGUAAUUGCAAGAAGUUCUUGAGCUGAAUUCCUGUUGUGUCGAGUUCUCCUUAGCUUCUGAAACACAAUCCUACUACAGUAGUUAAUGUGGAGACACAGUAUUUUCUCGUUUGAAGAUUCAUUUGAGGUGGCACAUGCUACCAGCUAAUAGCAGUUAAAACUAAUUUUUGUAUCAAGACCAUGAACUGGAAGUAAGACGUUGGGUCUCUCUGAAGUUUAAUCGAGUUUUCAUUAAGACAAAAUUGCUUUCAUGGUCCUAUUUUUUAUUUGCUCUGCUUAAGAAUCAACUUGGUUUAUUCCCCUUCCUCAGUAUUGUAGUACAAGUCUUGUGUUGAAAAGCCCAGUGUGACAGUGUCAUAAUGUAGUAGUGUCUUACUGUUUUUUUAAUAAAUCUUUUUGUAUAAACAUG